rnacentral:rRNA from 1 species
UACGGGGGGGGCAAGCGUUGUUCGGAAUUACUGGGCGUAAAGGCUCGUAGGCGGCCAACUAAGUCAGACGUGAAAUCCCUCGGCUUAACCGGGAACUGCAUCUGAUACUGGAUGGCUUGAGUUCGGGAGAGGGAUGCGGAAUUCCAGGUGUAGCGGUGAAAUGCGUAGAUAUCUGGAGGAACACCGGUGGCGAAGGCGGCAUCCUGGACCGACACUGACGCUGAGGAGCGAAAGCCAGGGGAGCAAACGGG